rnacentral:tRNA from 1 species
UCCAUAAAUGUAGGAUGACCUUACAGAUAGUACUUGCAGUUUAAGGAUAUAAUUUUUUUAUUAUUAGAGG